CCCUUAGAUGUUCUGGGCCGCACGCGUGCUACACUGAGUAAUUCAAUGGGUAAGGGAACGCUAGAGCAUUACCUAAUCUUGAAAUUUGCUCGUGAUGGGGAUCGACGGUUGCAAUUUUCCGUCGUGAACGAGGAAUACCUUGUAGGCGCAUGUCAUCAUCAUGCGCCGAAUACGUCCCUGCCCUUUGUACACACCGCCCGUCGCUCCUACCGAUUGAGUGAUCCGGUGAGGCUCUGGGACCUGGACGGAAAGAGCGUUUCGCUUGUUCUGUUUGGGAAACUUGGUCGAACCUUACCAUUUAGAGGAAGGAGAAGUCGUAACA
rnacentral:rRNA from 1 species